GCAGGAGCAGCUUGAGAUUCUAACAAGCCGGACGUGUUGAAGGCGCAGCAGAAAAAAAAAAUGUAUUUUUUUUACUGCU
rnacentral:tRNA from 1 species